rnacentral:rRNA from 1 species
ACGGAAGGCAGCAGUGAGGAAUAUUGGUCAAUGGACGGAAGUCUGAACCAGCCAUGCCGCGUGCAGGAAUAAGGCCCUAUGGGUCGUAAACUGCUUUUGUGGUGGAGCAAUAAGGCGUACGUGUACGUCGAUGAGAGUACAUCACGAAUAAGCAUCGGCUAACUCCGUGCCAGCAGCCGCGGUAAUACGGAGGAUCCGAGCGUUAUCCGGAUUUAUUGGGUUUAAAGGGUGCGCAGGCGGCUUUUUAAGUCAGUGGUUAAAUCGUGACGCUCAACGUCAUCACGCCAUUGAUACUGGAGAGCUUGAUUGCGGUCGAGGUUUGCGGAAUUCGUUGUGUAGCGGUGAAAUGCAUAGAUAUGACGAAGAACACCGAUUGCGUAGGCAGCAGACCAGGCCGUAAAUGACGCUCAUGCACGAAAGUGCGGGGAUCGAACAGGAUUAGAUACCCUGGUA